UCUCAAAUGUGAAUUUUCUCCCUCCUUUCUUCAUUUUCCUUAGCCCUCUCCUCCCCUUCCCCCAUUCUUUCUCUCAAUCAGAGACAAAACCAUCCUUCCUCCGACUUCCGCCGUCAGUUGUGCAACGCCGUCGUGGUGGGAUUAAUUUGAUAUUUGUUAUUUUGACUGGUAACAAAUAUCAAAUAUUAGUUUUCCUUCAAGCACAGUCGCCACUCUCGCCGGUGAGUACUUGGCAUCAGCAGCAACCGAUUAAUUACGUGUCUUCACAGAUUGGCUAGAUCCCUUGAUCUCUGGCGUGACCUGAGGUUUGAUCUCUUUAUCUCUGGCUCUCCCUAUAACUAUCCGGCCACCACCCCUUUCAUUUUACGGACGCUAUCCAAUCUUUUUCCAUCAAAUACCAAAACUGGAAAGGUCGAACCGAAACAAUUCAUGGUUCAAAAACCUAUUUAUUUUUCUUUCGCUUCAUUGUUUGUUCGAGUCCAUUUUCUGGUUUUCAAUUUUGCAUUCUCGAUAUUUUUUAUGGAAUUGGUUUUCUGCAUUGCUAAUAGCUUUAUAUUGUUGAAUUGAGAAGAAUCAUUGGAAUUUUAGUCGCUGCAUUGUUGCCCUAAUGCAACAAAUGUUAGUUUGAUAUUUGUUAUUUUUCUUUUAUCGAGGGUUUCUUUGGAAUUGUGUUUUUUUUAGCAUUUUGAUAUGUUAAUUCAUGAAUUUGUGGAUUUUUUUUUGUUAGAAAGGCUACGAGAAAUUCAUACAUCGCAACUCACAGGUCCUUAAAUUCCAUCACCAACUCUUCUACUCAUUUAUCUCUUCUUUCUCUCCCAUUUUCCAGUUCAUUGUGCCACAUACAUACACACAUAUAGAUUUUCUUAUUCCCCAAGUAUUUACUUGAAAAAGAUUUGGUCACUGAACAAUGAUCAAAAUCAAUCAUUUAUGGGGGACAAACAAAAACUGUCCUCAAGGUGUUCCACGAAAGGCUUAUGAGACAAUCGAAGGGACAACAAUAUAUUGUGCUUGUUGGGAAACGUGUCAGAUGAGCUUUGAAGGAGUAACGAGGAUGAAAUUUGAUGGUCUUACCAACAUAGCUUCGAUUUGAGGUUGUCCAACCUUCAGGCACCAAAUUUUAGUUUUGAAGUUUGCAGAGACGCUACCGGUGACUGAUGAGGAACAUUGAGUAUGGACUUUGAAAGAAUCUUGAAUGAUAAAAUGAAAGGAUUCUAUAUAAGAUCUCAAAAAGUUGAGGAUAACAUCUAAUGAUAGCUUUGACUUUGGAGUCACCUAAGAGUGUUGUGAUACUUGGAGGUGGGUGUUGUCUCUCUUUCUUAUUAUUACAUGUACUGGAAUUGUAUUUAUGUAGAAUUGUAAUUUUGGAAUUAUUCAUAUAAAUGUUAGUUUAGUAACGUUGUAGACAUAAAAUUUUGAAUAUGUAUUAUUUAUUUAUAUGCUUGACAAGAUUGGAAAUA